rnacentral:lncRNA from 1 species
CAACUUUCUUUUUCGCAGCAACAGCUUUCUUCGCCGGCGAUGUUACCUUGGCCGUUUUGGCUGCCUUGGCUGGUCUACCCUUAGCCUUGGGCUUCGUAUCCACAGCUUUCCUCUUAGGUGCAGCAGCAGUGGCACGAGGAACAACCUUAGCCUUAGCCUUGGCAGUCACUUUCUUAGCAGCAGCUGUCUUAGGUUUAACGGCUGAUGAUUUCUUCGCUUUGGAAGCCGCUGCGACCUUUCCCUUGGGCUUAGUAACCGCCACAGCCGCCGCCGGUUUCUUCUUCGCAGGAGCAGAUGUCGUCGCCGCCGCCGCCGCCUUAGGGGAUGAAGCUUUAGCCGACGCCGAUGGGAGUUUAAACGAGGCUUUGACCUUGACAAGCUUCCCAGAAGCAACAAGUCUCUUCAGAUUGAGAAGCAAGAGCUUUCUGAAUGUUGGAGGAAGCUCCUUACGCUUCUCCUCGAUGAACUUCUGAAUCGCGUAUUGGCUAGAUCCAGUUCUCUCCUUCAACGUAACAAUCGCGUCCUUAAUCAUCUGAAAUCACAACAACAACAAAAAUCGCAAAAUCAAUCUCUAAUCUGAAUAUCUAAAUCCGGCAAAAGAAACGCAAAUCUGAUUUUACCUCUUCGUAAGUAGGAUGAGAUGAAACAGUUCUCUUCUUCGGAGCGGCAGCAACAGUCUUCUUCUCCUUCACUUCCUUAACUUUCUUCGUCUUUCGUCCCUUCGCUGCAGGCUUCUUCUUCUCGACUGCCGCAUCCGUC